rnacentral:rRNA from 1 species
UGAGUAACACGUAUCCAACCUGCCGUCUACUCUUGGACAGCCUUCUGAAAGGAAGAUUAAUACAAGAUGGCAUCAUGAGUCCGCAUGUUCACAUGAUUAAAGGUAUUCCGGUAGACGAUGGGGAUGCGUUCCAUUAGAUAGUAGGCGGGGUAACGGCCCACCUAGUCUUCGAUGGAUAGGGUUCUGAGAGGAAGGUCCCCCACAUUGGAACUGAGACACGGUCCAA